CAGUCGCCACGGUAAUACGAAGGGUGCAAGCGUUACUCGGAAUUACUGGGCGUAAAGCGUGCGUAGGUGGUGGUUUAAGUCCGUUGUGAAAGCCCUGGGCUCAACCUGGGAAUUGCAGUGGAUACUGGGUCACUAGAGUGUGGUAGAGGAUAGUGGAAUUUCCGGUGUAGCGGUGAAAUGCGUAGAGAUCGGGAGGAACAUCAGUGGCGAAGGCGGCCAUCUGGGACAACACUGACGCUGAGGCACGAAAGCGUGGGGAGCAAACAGGAUUAGAUACCCCGGUAGUCCCUGUCUCUUAUAC
rnacentral:rRNA from 1 species